UUGAAGUUUAUCUGAAAUCUGUUUCUCUGCAAUUCCUCUGCAUUGGUUCCAGUCCCGUACUCUGGAGCAAGAGAGAACAAAUCUUUUCCACAUUCUGCAUGACAGCUCUACAGCUGUUUGAAGACUACUAUCACAUAUUUACUUAACUUUCUCUUCUCCAGGCUAAGCCUACUCAGGUCUUGUAAAAGAUUGUGAACAAUGGAAAGUACU